UACCACAAGUUUGACUUGUGGUUCCGGAAAGCUUUUAGCUAUGAGUAGAAAAAAAUAAACCUCCGUUGUAAAAUUAUAGUAGGUUUGCCGACCAAUACUAUAAAAUACAAGGAGG
rnacentral:sRNA from 1 species